rnacentral:rRNA from 1 species
UAGUCCGGAUUGGAGUCKGCAACUCGACUCCAUGAAGUCGGAAUCGCUAGUAAUCGUGAAUCAGAAUGUCACGGUGAAUACGUUCCCGGGCCUUGUACACACCGCCCGUCACACCAUGGGAGUGGGCUGCAAAAGAAGUGGGUAGUUUAACCUUUCGGGGAGGACGCUCACCACUUUGUGGUUCAUGACUGGGGUGAAGUCGUAACAAGGUAGCCCUAGGGGAACCUGGGGCUGGAUCACCUCCUUAUACGAAGAUAC